CUGCACUGAAAGUGGAAUUUCCAUCAUGGAUCUAACACUUGGUAUCUUGCUGCACAUAGUGUCCUGUAGGUGGCAUGGGUAAUCUUGGUACUGUGUGAACAAAACCACCCAGACUACAGAAGAAGAAAAAAGAAGGCGGUGGAGGGAGCGAGGGAGGAGCUGGCCUGGCCUGGCAGCUCUAGCAAUAGGAUCAGCUCCUGCCUGCUUAGUGCUGAUAAUGGCGACAGGGGCAGUGCUGGGAUUUGUCCUCUGCCCAUAAGGAGACACUGCAGAGGGAAUCUGAUCGCUAGCGCUGGGCGCUGGUCCUCCUCUUGGACCGUGAUGGGCUUUCUCACCGCUGGAGUUCUACUGACUUCGUUCCAGAGCCCCAGCGACAUCCAUCACCAGCAGCGCUCGGGGGAUUUCAAUAAACACUUGAUCUGAAACGGAUACUUUGUCUCCGGGGCGGCGGCGGUGGUUGUGGUGGUGGGUGGGGGGCUGGGAAUACCGUCGGAUUGUUCUUUCUGGGAGGCAAAAAUGUCGGAUAGCAAGGUGAUAGUGGCCGUGAGGGUCCGGCCCAUGAACCGGAGAGGUAAUAUUAUAUUCCCUUUGCUUUCUGUCAUGUGGAAUGAGCGUGCAGAAACUUUUGUCCUGAUGGAAGUAAUGCAAAGUAACUAGUUAAGUGCUAGAUGGUCCCAAGUAGGAUGCUUUCCUUACCUCCCUCUGAGACUUUAAUGACACAGUUGUUGCUCUCUGUGCCCCCCUGUCCCCCCCCUGGCAUUAUAGACAAGUUCUGUAAAGUUGAUACUUUUCCUGGCACUGCAUGUGUGGGCAGUGGUCAUAUUAUCACCAGCCCUCUGAUUGUUUGUUUGCCUUUAUAACAGAUUAUUGAGCCUAAUGCCAAGAAACAAAGUUAUGGCUCUGGCAGGGAAGGUCACUUUAAACAGCAUCUUUACUGUCAAGGUUUCACUUGCUUAGUUAAUUUUUUCUUUUUUGAGGAGGAGGAGGGGGAAGCACUUGCUUGAAGAUGAUAUUGGCUUUCCCUCCAAGGAGUGAGGUUUGACAGGCAUUAGGAUGCUUUGCUUGAAAGGCUCAAUCCUCCUACAACCCCUGUGCCAUGACCUAUUAACCUGUAAACUGCCAGAAACAUCCAUUAGUGCACAGGCACUGACAGCCAUGGGAUUAACUAAUUCAGUGCCAUAGCAUCGAGAAGCCCACACUGAAGAAUUAUUGAAAUGGUGAAGUUCUGAUCCAAUCUAAAAAAGUGAAAAGUAUUUAUUAGCAGAAAAUGAAAGCAUUCUGCAUUCCUUAUGGUGCUAUAAUGUUAAUGUGGGACAGAGUUGACAUUUAGAUUCCACAUCAGUAUUUCUUUUUAUACCAUCAGAUAUUAUAGUAUGAGUAAUGAUGUGUCUGUCUCUUUGAUGGGAUUCCUUGGCAAUUAAAGGGGAUACAGUCAGGGAAUAGAAGUGCAGCUUUGUCAGUGCAUUAAGGCUUUGGAAAUGUAACCAUGUGCAAAACACUUGUUUGAUUUAGAAAUGGAUCUGAAUACAAAGUGCAUUGUGGAGAUGGAAGGGAAUCAGACAGUGCUGCAACCGCCACCUGUCAAUGCCAAGCAAGGAGAGAACAG